ensembl:rRNA 5S_rRNA 5S ribosomal RNA
GUCUACGGCCAUACCACCCUGAACGCGCCCGAUCUCAUCUGAUCUCGGAAGCUAAGCAGGGUCGGGCCUGGUUAGUACUUGGAUGGGAGAAAAGGAAACAGAGAUGGGUUUUGAACUGUAGGUU